GUGGGGAAUAUUGCACAAUGGGCGCAAGCCUGAUGCAGCGACGCCGCGUGAGGGAUGACGGCCUUCGGGUUGUAAACCUCUUUCAGCAGGGAAGAAGCGCAAGUGACGGUACCUGCAGAAGAAGCGCCGGCUAACUACGUGCCAGCAGCCGCGGUAAUACGUAGGGCGCAAGCGUUGUCCGGAAUUAUUGGGCGUAAAGAGCUCGUAGGCGGUCUGUCGCGUCUGGUGUGAAAUCCCGAGGCUCAACCUCGGGCUUGCAUCGGGUACGGGCAGACUAGAGUGCGGUAGGGGAGACUGGAAUUCCUGGUGUAGCGGUGGAAUGCGCAGAUAUCAGGAGGAACACCGAUGGCGAAGGCAGGUCUCUGGGCCGCAACUGACGCUGAGGAGCGAAAGCAUGGGGAGCGAACAGGAUUAGAAACCCUUGUAGUCC
rnacentral:rRNA from 1 species